rnacentral:lncRNA from 1 species
GUCAGGUUGAAACAGCUUUCACUUUGUGCCCGUUAUUCUCCAAUCGCUCCUCCAGAUCAUUCACUUCUCCAUCCUGCUCGAUGGCCCUGAUGGUGACCUCUACAGAAUGCAUCAGCUGAGAUGCCCUUCUGGAUUUGGGUGGAGUUUGGUCAGGAGACGUUGUCAGCAGAUAACCAGAGGAGGGGGAGAGAGAGUGUUUAAGAAACUGAGGCCUUGGAGACCCACCGCACUGCCCAAGGUCACGGACGAUGUUGC